CAAAAUAAAACCAGCCAAAAAAGUUCCACUGCUCGCACGAGCGAGUGAGCAGCGAGGCACCUAGAGAGCCCUCGAGCGAGAACCCCACUGUCGUCUCCCUUAGAUGCAGCCGCCCACCGAAUCAAUCGCACUACCAGCCUCGUCUGCCUCGCCGUGCCUACGUCCCUCCCCGGACGGCGGCGACGAUGGAGGAAGCCACUGGCGCUGGCCAGGCCCCCGGUCGAUGGACGCGGCGGAUCGUCGCUCCUCAGGGCCAGCCCCUCCCGCUGCGCUGGAUCACGUGGCAGCCUAGGUUGACGAUAGGAGAUGAAGUACGUUUGAACAAACAUGUUCUUUCACUUUUCCCAACGAGGUGGAGCUUGCACAUAUGGACAUAUGGUACACUUGCACGGGUUGCUAGGGUAGGAUGAAGUUGCUGAGGAUGCACGUGUACCUGAGGAACAAGUACCACCCGACGCUGCAGAUGACGAGGUUGGGAAAGGGCGCCAACUGCGAGAACGUCUUCAGUACCAUGGUCUACCUCUCACCCAAAGGUUCCACUCAAUCGAUGCAUUAACUGAUGUACUCCAGUUCCAUUACCCGAGGAACUAAUAUGGCAUAUUUUGUUUUCUGCAACAUGGUGGGUUGGGAACUCGGGAUGAAGGAAGAAUACUCCUGAGAGCCCAAACUCGAGCUUCCAAAAGAUAUGCAUAAUUAUGCUGAAGGUUGAUACUGAGGCUGUCACUAUGAAGAAUAUUUGCCUCUCAGUUUAAAUUCCUCGGUAAAGAUUCGGUAAGAUACUUGAAUAGUGUAGAUGUUGAAUUACCUGUAUACAUGACGAUUAAAGAAUUAUGUGCUGAUACCUUCCAAUGUUGGUUGAACUACAUAUGCUUUGUUUACUGGUUUUUCUAGAUAAAAAUAAGGGAUGUUGUGUUGUUGGCAAGCUUGAUACUACAGUGAAUGCUCACCUAAUGCUUAAUGUCUUGCUUUACUACAAAGGUCUUCCAUAGAUACAGUGCCUCAGUCACUUUGAUUAGAUGAGAAAACAUUUAAUCACAGAUAUGAUGCCUCCAUGUUAAAUACUGAAGAAAUGGGGGUUGUAUAUUUUCAGAUCAACAAGGCAAGAAUAACUUUAUUGUUUCCCUGUUUUUUCUUUUUUCUCAAGCAACAUAAAAAUUGAAUGUAUUCCUUACUACUAUUGAAUUGCAGGCACAAAAUAUAUAAACUUGGUUCAGAUCUUCCUGGUUCGAUUCCACAGCGAAUGUAAAACUUAUAUUCGUAAUUUAUAUCCACUGCAGGAGGCAGGACCACAUGAACAAGCAGGUUGUUGUCCAAGCAUAGUUGCUACUGCAAGAGCCAGCAUCAGACAACAUCCGAUCUAUACAAAAUCCAUCCAUCUGUCUCGUCUCAUGCAUGCAUAACCAGGCCGAUGGUAACUUGUCUACUAUUCUACUCACUGCAGUUUACGAUAAUUUGUCUACUACUCUACUUAAGCUUGAGGGUGAAGUGGACGAUAAGUUGUAUUAUUGACCAAGUAUAUCUUGUUCAUAAGCCUAAGAUUUGCAUACACCAUAGAAGCCGUAUAUAUCUUUGAGAUAAUCAGUCCAUGGCUGAUAUUGCUAGAGCAGGAGGGCGAGGCAGUGGCAAAGGUAGUCAGUGUGUUUAGAUCUUGAACCAGUUUGGGCUUGCCCAUCUGAGUGCCGGCGAUCUUCUUUGCAAAAAAGUUAAAUCCGAGCAAGGGUAACAAUCUGCUCUCAGUGUAUUUCAACCCUCAUUUAAGCAUAUCACAUUCCACUUUCAUUUUAUUUAUUUACUUUUAAGAGCUAUGCUUUAGGGUUCGGUGUCGUAUUUGUAUCAUCUUUAUAUAACCUUUUUUGUUUAGAAACAAAAGUUGCGUGUGCAAUGUUGAAGCUUGUUACGAUAUUAUUAUUGCAGACUUGCCUUAUCACCUAUUAAAUAUGACAUGUUUUAUUGAGGGCAUUUAUAUUAUAGAUGCUCAAAAAAUGUCCGUGCUUAAUGCUGCUCAAAACGUCGUAUCAUCAUCCCUGAAAUCGGCAUUCAGUGUCUGAAGUCCAGAUUACACAGAGGCCCAAAUUUACAUGCAACAGGGUUACCAUCUACAGUACUAUCAAAGAACAUCAGCUUGGGACAUCCCAAUUCAUAUGACAUUUUGCCUUAUAUACCAUAUAGGUUGAUUUUGAUUGGAGUAACACUAUGGCAGAGAAAAAUUUACUAAGUCUCCCUAGAUAAUUUCACACUUUCUCAUACACUAAAGAGCAUACUCUCAGCAUCUCUUGUACCAUGGUGGCCGAGAGCUGGAGGUCCUUGAGCCUAAAAUCUGCAUUCCAAAGCAAAAGCUUUCUUUUAUUGGUGAUAGUUAGUUAAUGGCAUGCAAAGCAAUUCUCGUUGAUUGUAUGCAUUAAGCUGAGUCGACUAGCAGCAGUGUAUAUGACUAAAUAGAAAGGCAAUUUUUUUUGCAUGAAGAAAAAUAUUAAAGUGAUGACAAAUGUAAUGCCUCACAGGUAAAACAUAAACAGACCCUGGGUGAAUAAUAAUGAAGGUCUACAUUUAUUGGCAGGAUUAUAAUUUUCAAUACAUUAAUAUGUUGUCUUCUUAAUUGAGCUUGUACUAAAUGUUGUCAGUACGGGCUGGCAUUCAACUUUGCGUACUGUGUCAAAGAGUUUCAAGACUUGGACCUUCCCACAUCAUGCUAAAGCUGGUAACUAUUUGUGCUACUAAACAUAGCAUUCCCAGUUCCACUACAUCCUCUCCCCAAUGUCUUUUUUCAUCCAUCUAAGAAAGAAAAAGAAUCACUUUUCAUCCAUGUAAGAAGAGUGAGUUAGUGGUAACAAAAAGUCAACAAGGCCCCCUACUGUACAUGAGGAUCAUAAUGUUAUACUACCUCCAUUCCUUUAUGUAAGGUAUAUUAUUUUUGGCAUGGUUACCAAAGCACAUGAUUCCGUGUUUUCUAUGAGAGAUCUAAAAUAGUAGGUUAAAAGCAUACUGCAAAUUUAUUAGAAGCAAAAUAUCUAGAAGGAUUACAUAUAUGUAAUUUACAUGGGGUUAUCUAAUGUUAGAGAGCCAUACCUCAAAUUAUUUGUUUAUUUGUUCUAGCUCUAUGGAUAACAAGAGCAUUAGUUCUUUAAAAGUGUUGCAUUUGUGUGGGCUAGACACCACUCCAUUGAAAAGAAAAUGUGUCAACAUGUUAAAUUACAACAGUUGUGAUAUCCAUAAGAAAUAGGCACUCACCAUGUUGCCUUGAGAGCUCAUAUGUUUUUAUGAGGAGAGAAAGGCCAAAGUUUGUGUGCAAUAGUCGGCGGAGUGGUUACAUGCUGAGAGGAGAACCUAUUGUAAAUAAUAUCAUGUUCUAGCAUCGUUUGAGCGACAAGUAAUUCCGGACGGAUGUAGUAUCACUUAAUUACAAGUGACAUUUAUGAUCACCAUUGGUCUUACUGUAUGAUUGUUUUCAUGACUUUCAAAAAAGAAAUAUCCUAAAAGUUGAGUGCAGCUGGACGGACGUCAAUCCAUUUGAGCCAAGAAAAGUAGAUGCGGACUGUCCUAAAUCAUUUGAGAUAUGAAUAGUAGAUGGGAAAGGGUUGAAAUAUUUUAUGCAACAAUGGUUACUAAAUGGUAGGAAUCAUGUGUUUUUUGCAGUAGUUCCUAAAUGGUAACCUCCAAGUGCCUAAUUUCAUAUGUAAUAAUUUUCCAGGCAAGUUCAUAAUGCAAUCAAGUUUCUGGUUGUAGUAUCUUCGAACAUUUGUUUUGAGGGAACAAAAUCCUCCCAUGUGUGGUAUUCAAUUAUUGAACAAUAACAAUGGACAUGCUUUGUGAGACUAUUGGUCUUAAGCAUAAAAAGACAUGCAAGUGAUAUCCAUCAAUUAAAGUAUAGUGCACGACAAAUAGUUGUACUCUCUCCGUUCAGAAAUACUUCUCGGAGAAUGGAUAAUCCAUUUCUCAGACAAGUACUUGCAGGUGGAGGGUGUAUGUUUUUGUACCACUUUUCUACUUUGUGGAUCAGAUCUCAUAGUACAAGUCGGCUAAUUACAUUUUUAUCGAAAUUAUUGCAAGUGGAGUGGAUUUCAACUAUUUUUCAUUUGUUACUGUCUAUCUUUUCUAUACAUGUCAAAUUUCACAUGCAU